rnacentral:rRNA from 1 species
GCCGGCAGCCAUAUCACCCUGUAGCCCAAGACUGGUCACCCACUGAAGCUAAGCAGGAUUGAGCCUGGUUUGUACCUGGAUGGGAGACCUCCUGGGAAAUCUAGGUUGCUGCUGGAA